rnacentral:tRNA from 3 species
GCCUCGGUGGCUUAGGGGUAUAGCGCGUCCUUGGUAAGGACGAGGCCGUGGGUUCAAAUCCCACCCGAGGCU